GAUGAACGCUGACAGAAUGCUUAACACAUGCAAGUCAACUUGAAUUUGGGUUUUUUAACUUAGAUUUGGGUGGCGGACGGGUGAGUAACGCGUAAAGAACUUGCCUCACAGCUAGGGACAACAUUUGGAAACGAAUGCUAAUACCUGAUAUUAUGAUUAUAAGGCAUCUUAGAAUUAUGAAAGCUAUAUGCGCUGUGAGAGAGCUUUGCGUCCCAUUAGCUAGUUGGAGAGGUAACGGCUCACCAAGGCGAUGAUGGGUAGCCGGCCUGAGAGGGUGAACGGCCACAAGGGGACUGAGACACGGCCCUUACUCCUACGGGAGGCAGCAGUGGGGAAUAUUGGACAAUGGACCAAGAGUCUGAUCCAGCAAUUCUGUGUGCACGAUGACGUUUUUCGGAAUGUAAAGUGCUUUCAGUUGGGAAGAAAAAAAUGACGGUACCAACAGAAGAAGAGACGGCUAAAUACGUG
rnacentral:rRNA from 1 species